rnacentral:rRNA from 1 species
CAGCAGCCGCGGUAAUACGAAGGGUGCAAGCGUUGUUCGGAAUUACUGGGCGUAAAGCGCACGUAGGCGGACAUUUAAGUCAGGGGUGAAAUCCCGGGGCUCAACCCCGGAACUGCCUUUGAUACUGGGUGUCUAGAGUAUGGAAGAGGUGAGUGGAAUUCCGAGUGUAGAGGUGAAAUUCGUAGAUAUUCGGAGGAACACCAGUGGCGAAGGCGGCUCACUGGUCCAUUACUGACGCUGAGGUGCGAAAGCGUGGGGAGCAAACAGGAUUAGAUACCCCAGUAGUCCCUGUCUCUUAUAC